rnacentral:lncRNA from 1 species
CUAUCCAACCAAGGGUUUUACUUAUUCCCUGGAUUUCUCUAUACUUUUAAAUUGUCAAAGCCAAAGAAAAGAAUAAUUAAAAUAUUCAAAGCUGAAAAUAAGCAAGAUUUCAGUUUAUUUUCAAAUAUAAGCUUACCACUUCCCUGCAUUUAACUGUGAUACUAGUGUUCUGGCAAUAUUACAUAUGAUUGAGAAUUCUGUUUACCUAAACCACUUUUUUAUUGUUGUUUUUAGCUUUCUUAAGUGCCAUCAGGUCUUGUCUUCUUUCAUUUCUUUCUAGCUGUCCCCAACAAAUACUGCCCAAGUCUGAUUGUAAUGCAGCCUUUCUUUCAUAGUGAAUAUUUAUUAAAGCACUUAAUACCUGAAUUAUGAAAUGUAGACAAGUGCACAUUAACCUGGCUGAGUUAUUUCCUUUCUUGUUCUUUUUAAACACAUAUUCUAGCCCAGUCUAUCAAUGCCAGAUGGCAACUACAUUUUGAUACACUGAAUAUUUACCAAGUCAUGUGCUUCUCAAGAACUGGAAUUUUUAGAGUAUAUCUUCUUUAUUUUAUGAGUUUCACUUGAAUGUUUCUAACUUCAUGGAGACUCAUCUGAUUGAAUGGUAACAUUUUGUAUUCAGGCAGCAAGGGAUUUUGUAGUGAAAACAUUGUGGUGGACACCCAAAAAAUAAGAUUUCUAAUAUAGUUUAUAGUGUAUUUUUCUCCUUAAAGUUAACAAUGAAGGAAUAGUGUAUCUUUUUGGCUCCUCUGUCAAAUUAAACUGUGGGGUAAUUAAAUCAUUGUAUUAUUUGGGAAGAAAGAAAAUGGGUGGACAUAGAUUAAAUUUUUAAAUGACCCCUACUUUCCUCCCAUUUAGCUGCUUUUCACAUAACGCUUCUUUUUUCUGUAGAGGUUUUAUAAAAAAAGAUUGAGAAAAAAUUAUUUCUAAAAUGUUUAUGCUCUAUUUUUAAUAAAGGAACUCAGUAAAUGACUAAGGCCAAAAAGUUGACUCUUCUUUAUCAGUACUCCCUAUCAUAAUAAUUCUGCAAAACUGCUUUAUUCUUUUCUGACCUUCUCUGUGCUUUGGACUUUAUGCCAUAGUUGAGGGCUGUGUUUCAUCAAUGUUUCUUUUCCCUCUGUUCCUCGAAGCAACAUAAUUUGUUUGGCAAAAAACUAAGAAUGAAAUAUCUCCUGCUUUAUAGAUAGUUUUUAUACAACAUUCUUUGUAAUUGUGUAAAGUCUGAGAAUUGUGUCUAAUGAAAUAUCUGGUAAAGGCAAAUGAUACAGAGGGUGCAUAUGCAGAUUUAGUCCAUAGGAAUAUUGUGUGAUGCUGAGGUUUGGAAUAGGAAUCCCACCCUAAUUCCUAUGGUAAUGAGCACAGUACCUAAUAGGAAAUCAAUCAAACAUGCAGGAAAACAUGUCUAGUACUUUCUGAGUAACCAAAGAUUAGCCACACAAACAAUCCUUUUCCCACUAUUGCUUCACUCUUUGCCAAAAUGCAUUCAGCCCUGAGAUAUUAAGGAUGUUGGGAAUCCUUUCCCCUCUUUAGUCUCUUGUCAGCCACUCCUCUUUUUACCCUACCACCUUUGCAAGUAGAGUAUAUUUAAAAUAAAGGAUCAUCAGUGAGACAAAGAAUUAGUUGAUAGAACCUUGUGCAUACCUGAAAAUCUUGAGGCCUCAAACUAGUUUUUGGAUAGCUUGGUAGUUGGGAGCUUCCAUGCAAAUUUAGACUAUUCACAGCCCAAACUGUUGGACCAAAAGACAUGAUCUAUGCAAUAUCCCCCAGUAAACCUGAGUCAACCUUCAUAGAGGUCUAAGUGAUAAGUAUUAAACCAACAUUUGAAAUGUCAAAUGGGAAAACCCAUUUGGCAGUUAAAUUAUUUUUAUAACUGACCAAAAUAAUGUUGUAAAAUGAAAGCCUCAAUUCCCCACUACUUACUUGUAAUAUUUGGAAGCCUUGAAAAUAGCUUCUGUCCCAACUUAUGUAGUCUUUUCUCCAAAAGCAAAUGCGAUAAUAGUUUCCUAAGUCAUGGGUUCAAACCUCAGGAAGUCCAGAAGUUGAGAGAUAGGAAAUAAGUCUUAUUUGUAUCUUAUUCCUACUGUCUCACACAUAGAAGAUGUUUAUUGAAUCAUAAUUUGGAGAAACAAAAAUGUGGCCUAAACUAUCAUUUUAAUAAUAUUGUGCAUUUGUAUUUCCUCUUCAUUGCAAAGCAUUUACAAGAUUCUGGAAUCAUUUUCUUAUCCAUCCCUAAAGUAGCCCAGUGCAAGUAGAAAAGGACAGUUAUUCCCCUUUUAGUGAUUAGAAAACUGGACCCUGAUUUUUCUGGAGUUAUAUAAUAUGCCACUGAAUGAGAACAGGAAUUGCAGGGGAGAGGGGGGUGUGCAUGUGUGUUGGAGGAGAGAACUAAACAUAGGGUCAUUAAAUUUAUCCUCAGUACUCACGCAUAGCACAAACAAAAGGAAAUCAUAAGGAUAACCACCUGCAGCUGGCAGAGAUGCCUACAGUGUGAUUGUGAGACAACCCAACAUGGCUUGCUUUGCUGGAUACCACUGGCUUUAAGAAAACACAACUGUGAGGUAACAAGUAGACCCCUUCCAUAAUAGUGAGAACAGAUAGUGCUGAUGGCCAGACAUAGGUAAAAACGGAUGAAUGGUGAGAAAGAUGUUCUGUGGUCCUGACCUCAGUAUAGUCUACUCUCUACAGGACUCUCCUCACCCAAUUAGCUUUUCUGCUCUCAGCCUCUCACAACCACGCUCCUUGCUAA